rnacentral:rRNA from 14 species
UUGAGAGUUUGAUCCUGGCUCAGAACGAACGCUGGCGGCAUGCCUAACACAUGCAAGUCGA